AGAAUGAUUUUCUGAGUAGCGGCGAGCGAAAGGGAAAGAGCCCAAACCGAUCUGAGGAUCGGGGUAGUAGGAUCAUCGAUAAAUCAAACAGAGGAUCAUAGAGGAAUCACAUGGGAAGGUGAGCGAGAGAGGGUGAGAGCCCCGUACUCGAAAUGAGAGACUGGAGAGAGAUGACACCUGAGUAGGGCGGGACACGAGAAAUCCUGUCUGAAUCAGCCGGGACCAUCCGGCAAGGCUAAAUACGAGAGAGUGACCGAUAGUGAACCAGUACCGUGAGGGAAAGGUGAAAAGAACCCCGGGAGGGGAGUGAAAGAGAACCUGAAACCAUAUGCCUACAAGAAGUCAGAGCCCGUUAAAGGGUGAUGGCGUGCCUUUUGUAGAAUGAACCGGCGAGUUACUGUAUGGAGCGAGGUUAAGCAGGAUAUGCGGAGCCGAAGCGAAAGCGAGUCUUAAGAGGGCGCGAGUUGCAUGCAGUAGACCCGAAACCGGGUGAUCUAGCCAUGACCAGGUUGAAGUUGGGGUAAAACCCGAUGGAGGACCGAACCGACCCCCGUUGAAACGUUGGCGGAUGAGUUGUGGCUAGGGGUGAAAUUCCAAUCGAACCCGGAGAUAGCUGGUUCUCCCCGAAAUAGCUUUAGGGCUAGCGUCGAGAGAAGAGUUGCGUGAAGGUAGAGCACUGAAUAUGUGAUGGCCCCAUCUCGGGGUACUGAGCAUAAUCAAACUGCGAAUGUCACGCCAACAUGCUCGGCAGUCAGACAGCGGGUGAUAAGGUCCGUUGUCAAGAGGGAAACAGCCCAGACCAUCAGCUAAGGUCCCAAAAUGUAUGCUAAGUGGAAAAGGAUGUGGAGAUGUACAGACAACUAGGAGGUUGGCUCAGAAGCAGCCAUCCUUUAAAGAGUGCGUAACAGCUCACUAGUCGAAUGACUCUGCGCCGAUAAUUUACCGGGGCUAAGCAUACUACCGAAGCUAUGGAUCCCAAGGGAUGGUAGGGGAGCGUUCCAUGAACGGAGAAGUACGACCGAAAGGACGUGUGGAGAUCAUGGAAGAGAGAAUGCCGGUGUGAGUAGCGGAACGUGGGUGAGAAUCCCACGCACCGAAAACCCAAGGUUUCCAGAGGAAGGUUCGUCCGCUCUGGGUAAGUCGGGACCUAAGGCGAGGCCGAAAGGCGUAGUCGAUGGACAACAGGUAGAGAUUCCUGUACCCGUAUAUAUGUGAAGGAAUGACGGAGAGAGGAAGCUGCAGCCAGCGGCUGGAAGAGCUGGUGCAAGCGAGAUAUCGGGAUGGCAGGCAAAUCCACCAUCCGAAACGAGAAGGCGUGAAGCGUACGGAAAGCUACGGCGAGUACGGAAGGCAGUGGAGGAACUUCCAAGAAAAGUUUCUAACGUUAAGUAUAUAUGGCCCGUACCGAAAAUGGACACACAUGGGUGAGGAGAGAAUCCUAAGGUGAGCGAGAGAACUAUAGCUAAGGAACUCUGCAAAAUGACUCCGUAACUUAGGGAGAAGGAGUGCUCAUAGAGAUAUGAGCCGCAGUGAAACGGCCCAAGCGACUGUUUACCAAAAACACAGCUCUCUGCUAAGCCGCAAGGCGAAGUAUAGGGGGUGACGCCUGCCCGGUGCUGGAAGGUUAAGGGGAGGGGUUAACGCAAGUGAAGCCCUGAACUGAAGCCCCAGUAAACGGCGGCCGUAACUAUAACGGUCCUAAGGUAGCGAAAUUCCUUGUCAGGUAAGUUCUGACCCGCACGAAAGGCGUAACGAUUUGGGCGCUGUCUCAGCUGUAGACUCGGUGAAGUCUUAGUACCUGUGAAGAUGCAGGUUACCCGCGACUAGACGGAAAGACCCCAUGGAGCUUCACUGCAGGUUGAUAUUGGGAUUUGAUGCAGCAUGUACAGGAUAGGUAGGAGGCAAAGAGAUGGAUACGCCAGUAUUCAAGGAGCCGCUGUUGGGAUACUACCCCUGUUGUAUUGGAUUUCUAACCGGACGACGUAGAGCCGUUGACGGGACAGUGUCAGUCGGGCAGUUUGACUGGGGCGGUCGCCUCCC
rnacentral:rRNA from 1 species